AUUCCAGCUCCAAUAGCGUAUAUUAAAGUUGUUGCAGUUAAAAAGCUCGUAGUUGGAGUUCAGAGUGAGCUCAAUCGGUCGGGAUUAUGUCUCAGAACUGGUUGACUCUCUCUUGUUUGUGGAUCCUGUUCGGAGUUAACUCUUCGGAUGUGGAGUCCACAUCGUUUACCUUGAAAAAAUUAGAGUGUUCAAAGCAGGCGUUUGCUUGAAUAUAUUAGCAUGGAAUAAUGGAAUAGGACGCUGGUUCUAUUUUGUUGGUUUUGAGAACCAGAGUAAUGAUUAAUAGGGACAGUUGGGGGCAUUCAUAUUUCAUUGUCGGAGGUGAAAUUCUUGGAUUUAUGAAAGAUGAACUUCUGCGAAAGCAUUUGCCAAGGAUGUUUUCAUUG
rnacentral:rRNA from 1 species